CCACACCCGUUCCCAUACCGAACACGGAAGUUAAGCUCUUCAGCGCCAAUGGUAGUUGGGGGUUUCCCCCUGCAAGAGUAGGACGUCGCCGGGC
rnacentral:rRNA from 1 species